GCAGGCUUAACACAUGCAAGUCGAGCGGGCGUAGCAAUACGUCAGCGGCAGACGGGUGAGUAACGCGUGGGAACGUACCUUUUGGUUCGGAACAACACAGGGAAACUUGUGCUAAUACCGGAUAAGCCCUUACGGGGAAAGAUUUAUCGCCGAAAGAUCGGCCCGCGUCUGAUUAGCUAGUUGGUAGGGUAAUGGCCUACCAAGGCGACGAUCAGUAGCUGGUUUGAGAGGAUGAUCAGCCACAUUGGGACUGAGACACGGCCCAAAC
rnacentral:rRNA from 1 species